rnacentral:snoRNA from 1 species
GGCAGUUAUGUGUACUCAUUUUGAUCAAUGUGAUUUAUGAGAUUACGGAAACUGCCAAAAACAAAUUAGAUUAUAUAAAGAAAUGUCUUAUACUAGUUAAUCUGUUUUGGACUCUUUGUAUACUCACAUUU